rnacentral:rRNA from 1 species
AGUGAACGCUGGCGGUAGGCCUAACACAUGCAAGUCGAACGGCAGCACAGUAAGAGCUUGCUCUUACGGGUGGCGAGUGGCGGACGGGUGAGGAAUACAUCGGAAUCUACUUUUUCGUGGGGGAUAACGUAGGGAAACUUACGCUAAUACCGCUUACGACCUACAGGUGAAAGCAGGGGAUCUUCGGACCUUGCGCGAUUGAAUGAGCCGAUGUCGGAUUAGCUAGUUGGCGGGGUAAAGGCCCACCAAGGCGACGAUCCGUAGCUGGUCUGAGAGGAUGAUCAGCCACACUGGAACUGAGACACGGUCCAGACUCCUACGGGAGGCAGCAGUGGGGAAUAUUGGACAAUGGGCGCAAGCCUGAUCCAGCCAUACCGCGUGGGUGAAGAAGGCCUUCGGGUUGUAAAGCCCUUUUGUUGGGAAAGAAAAGCAGCAGGUUAAUACCCCGCUGUUCUGACGGUACCCAAAGAAUAAGCACCGGCUAACUUCGUG